rnacentral:rRNA from 1 species
CUCGUAGGUGGCCAACUAAGUCAGACGUGAAAUCCCUCGGCUUAACCGGGGAACUGCGUCUGAUACUGGAUGGCUUGAGUUUGGGAGAGGGAUGCGGAAUUCCAGGUGUAGCGGUGAAAUGCGUAGAUAUCUGGAGGAACACCGGUGGCGAAGGCGGCAUCCUGGACCAACACUGACGCUGAGGAGCGAAAGCCUGGGGAGCAAACG